GGCGUCAUAGCUCAGCUGGGAGAGCAACAGACUGAAGUUCACACAUGUACACAUGCAUCCAAUAUCUGGAGGUCCCGUGUUCAAUCCACGGUGAUGCCA